rnacentral:rRNA from 1 species
GACGAACCGAGCGAACGUUAUUCGGAAUCACUGGGCGUAAAGGGUGCGUAGGCGGUCGGGUAAGUCUGAUGUGAAAUCUCGCAGCUUAACUGCGAAACUGCAUUGGAUACUAUCCGGCUCGAGGAAUGGAGGGGAGACUGGAAUACUUGGUGUAGCAGUGAAAUGCGUAGAUAUCAAGUGGAACACCAGUGGCGAAGGCGAGUCUCUGGACAUUUCCUGACGCUGAGGCACGAAAGCCAGGGGAGCAAACGGG